ACAACACCUGCCUACCUGGUAAUGCUGUUGGACUCACCUGCUCAGAGCCUGAUGAUGUGAGUCUGGUGGGAGGAGGCAGUCGCUGUGCUGGUGGAGUGGAGUGGUACGACCAGGGAGCGUGGAGGACUGUGGGAACUCUCUCUGACGUGAUGUUUACAGCUGCAGUAGUGUGUAGACAGCUGGGUUGUGGCUCCACUGUUUCAGCACUACCUGGAAACACCACUAGAGGGUUUAGAGUUUCCUGUUCUGGGUCUGAGUCUUCACUGAGGGAGUGUAGAAGAAUGUAUGAUCUCCUUCCUGGACUCACAGUGAUCUGCUCAGAGUCUGUGCGGCUUGUGAAUGGAGCUGGUCUCUGCUCUGGGAGAGUGGAG